GAUGAACGCUGGCGGCGUGCUUAACACAUGCAAGUCGAACGGGAUCCAUCAGGCUUUGCUUGGUGGUGAGAGUGGCGAACGGGUGAGUAAUGCGUGACCGACCUGCCCCAUACACCGGAAUAGCUCCUGGAAACGGGUGGUAAUGCCGGAUGCUCCAGUUGAUCGCAUGGUCUUCUGGGAAAGCUUUCGCGGUAUGGGAUGGGGUCGCGUCCUAUCAGCUUGACGGCGGGGUAACGGCCCACCGUGGCUUCGCCGGGUAGCCGGCCUGAGAGGGCGACCGGCCACAUUGGGACUGAGAUACGGCCCAGACUCCUACGGGAGGCAGCAGUGGGGAAUAUUGCACAAUGGGCGCAAGCCUGAUGCAGCGACGCCGCGUGAGGGAUGGAGGCCUUCGGGUUGUAAACCUCUUUUAUCGGGGAGCAAGCGAGAGUGAGUUA
rnacentral:rRNA from 1 species